rnacentral:rRNA from 1 species
AACACAUGCAAGUCGAGGGGCAGCAUUGGGAUAGCUUGCUAUCCAGAUGGCGACCGGCGCACGGGUGAGUAACGCGUAUCCAACCUUCCCCAUAGUAGGGCACAGCCCGGCGAAAGUCGGAUUAAUCCCUAUGCUGUCCAGAGAGGACAUCUGACCUGGACGAAAGAUUCAUCGCUAUGGGAUGGGGAUGCGUCUGAUUAGGUUGCAGGCGGGGUAACGGCCCACCUGGCCGACGAUCAGUAGGGGUUCUGAGAGGAAGGUCCCCCACAUUGGAACUGAGACACGGUCCAAACUCCUACGGGAGGCAGCAGUGAGGAAUAUUGGUCAAUGGACGGAAGUCUGAACCAGCCAAGUAGCGUGCAAGGAAGACGGCCCUAUGGGUUGUAAACUGCUUUUAUCAGGGGAUAAAGUGAGGUAUGUAUACCUUUUUGCAUGUACCUGAUGAAUAAGGACCGGCUAAUUCCGUGCCAGCCGCAGC